UACGUAGGGGGCGAGCGUUGUCCGGAUUUAUUGGGCGUAAAGAGCCCGUAGGCGGUUCGAUAAGUCGGACGUGAAAUCUCCACGCUCAACGUGGAGGGGCCGUUCGAUACUGUCGUGACUCGAGUCCGGUAGGGGAGUGUGGAAUUCCCGGUGUAGCGGUGAAAUGCGCAGAGAUCGGGAGGAACACCCGUAGCGAAGGCGGCACUCUGGGCCGGUACUGACGCUGAGGAGCGAAAGCGUGGGGAGCAAACAGG
rnacentral:rRNA from 1 species